rnacentral:rRNA from 1 species
CAUCCCACCUGGGGAGUACGCCGGCAACGGUGAGACUCAAAGGAAUUGACGGGGGCCCGCACAAGCGGAGGAACAUGUGGUUUAAUUCGAUGAUACGCGAGGAACCUUAGCCGGGCUUGAAUUGCAGACGCAGGAUACAGAGAUGUUGACUCCCUUCGGGGCGUCUGUGAAGGUGCUGCAUGGUUGUCGUCAGCUCGUGCCGUGAGGUGUCGGCUUAAGUGCCAUAACGAGCGCAACCCCUUUCCUUAGUUGCCAUCAGGUCAUGCUGGGCACUCUGGGGACACUGCCACCGCAAGGUGUGAGGAAGGUGGGGAUGACGUCAAAUCGGCACGGCCCUUACGUCCGGGGCUACACACGUGUUACAAUGGCCGGUACAGAGGGACGGUGUAAUGUAAGUUGCAUCCAAUCUUGAAAGCCGGUCCCAGUUCGGACUGAGGUCUGCAACCCGACCUCACGAAGCUGGAUUCGCUAGUAAUCGCGCAUCAGCCAUGGCGCGGUGAAUACGUUCCCGGGCCUUGUACACACCGCCCGUCAAGCCAUGAAAGCCGGGGGUGCCUGAAGUUCGUAACCGCGAGGAGCGACCUAGGCAAUUCUUGGUUA